rnacentral:misc_RNA from 1 species
GAUGAAGAACGUAGCGAAAUGCGAUAAGUAGUGUGAAUUGCAGAAUUCCGUGAAUCAUCGAAUCUUUGAACGCACAUUGCGCCCGCCAGUAUUCUGGCGGGCAUGCCUGUUCGAGCGUCAUUACAACCCUCAGGCCCCCGGGCCUGGCGUUGGGGAUCGGCGGAAGCCCCCUGCGGGCACAACGCCGUCCCCCAAAUACAGUGGCGGUCCCGCCGCAGCUUCCAUUGCGUAGUAGCUAACACCUCGCAACUGGAGAGCGGCGCGGCCACGCCGUAAAACACCCAACUUCUGAAUGUUGACCUCGAAUCAGGUAGGAAUACCCGCUGAACUUAAGCAUAUCAAUAAGCGGAGGA